UGAACACAUCUGAUGGAUCAUCACUGAUUUUAUCUACAUCUUUUAUUCUUUAUUCAGACUGAGGCGCUGCAGUUUGUCAGAGAUCAGCUGUGAUUCUCUGGUCUCAGCGCUGAAGUCCAACCCCUCCCAUCUGGAACAUCUGGACCUGAGUAACAACAACCUGAAGGAUUCAGGAGUGAAACAUCUGUUAGAUCUUGUGAAGAGUCCAGACUGCAGCCUGAAGACUCUGAGGUGGUGGUGAUGCUGAUCAGGAAGGUGUUUGUGCUGAGAGGAUGAACUGUGUCCUGAUGAUCCAGAGGUUGAAGCAGCAGCAGCAGCUGGUGUAUAGAGACUCUGACUGGGCCGUGUUACUGGGAGGUGGACUGGGAACCAGUGUACAGUGUGUUAUCAGUGUGUAGUUUAGUGCUGCAGCUCCACACUGUGACUGAUGGAGAACUGCAGUUCAUGUUCACAUGAUUACUGGAGGUUGAUCAUAUUCAGACUCACAUGUUACAACAUUAAUAUUCAGAUGAAAAUAAAAGACGUGUAGAGAGUUUUUUUUUUUUUUUUACAGAUGUUGAAGAAGCAGCUGCAGCUCACUUGUUGACUUCUUCUAUACUGUCUGAAUGUCUUCUUACCUGGACAGAUGUAAACAUGUCAGUGUCCACAUUUGACCUUCAGCUGCUCAAAUGAUUCCUUUGUCUUUGUUCAACUGUCUGAUAUUCUAAUAUUUCCAACAUGUGGAUGCUGUAAUUCUCACAAACACAUUAAUUAAACUUCAGAAGAU